rnacentral:RNase_P_RNA from 1 species
GGAGUCGGCUGGGCAAUCGCUGCGCAAGCAGAGGAAAGUCCGGGCUCCAUAGGGCAGGAUGCCAGGUAACACCUGGGGGGCGUGAGCCUACGGCCAGUGCAACAGAAAGCAAACCGCCCCGCCUGCGGGGUAAGGGUGAAAUGGUGCGGUAAGAGCGCACCGCACAUGUGGUAACGCGUGUGGCAGGGUAAACCCCAUCCGGAGCAAGACCAAAUAGGAAUCCAGUGCCGCGGCCCGUGGUGGAUUCGGGUAGGUUGCUUGAGGCGCAUGGCGACGUGCGUCCCAGAUGAAUGAUUGUCCUAGACAGAACCCGGCUUAUAGGCCGGCUCCCCCA